UUACUGCGGAAGGAUCAUUA
rnacentral:rRNA from 1 species